AUUGAACGCUGGCGGCAUGCUUUACACAUGCAAGUCGAACGGUAACAGGGAGCUUGCUCCGCUGACGAGUGGCGAACGGGUGAGUAAUGCGUCGGAACGUGCCGAGUAGUGGGGGAUAACGCAGCGAAAGUUGUGCUAAUACCGCAUACGUACUGAGGUAGAAAGUGGGGGACCUUCGGGCCUCACGCUAUUCGAGCGGCCGACGUCUGAUUAGCUAGUAGGUGAGGUAAAGGCUCACCUAGGCGACGAUCAGUAGCGGGUCUGAGAGGAUGAGCCGCCACACUGGGACUGCGACACGGCCCAGACUCCUACGGGAGGCAGCAGUGGGGAAUUUUGGACAAUGGGCGAAAGCCUGUUCCAGCCAUGCCGCGUGUCUGAAGAAGGCCUUCGGGUUGUAAAGGACUUUUGUCGGGGAUGAAAUCCCCAGCGCUAAUACCGCUGGGGGAUGACAGUACCUGAAGAAUAAGCACCGGCUAACUACGUGCCAGCCGCCGCCGUAA
rnacentral:rRNA from 1 species